rnacentral:rRNA from 1 species
CCCUUAGAUGUUCUGGGCCGCACGCGCGCUACACUGACACGUUCAUCAAGUCUAUAACCUUGACCGAGAGGUCUGGGUAAUCUUUUAAAAACGUGUCGUGCUGGGGAUAGAUUAUUGCAAUUAUUAAUCUUCAACGAGGAAUUCCUAGUAAACGCAAGUCAUCAACUUGCAUUGAUUACGUCCCUGCCCUUUGUACACACCGCCCGUCGCUACUACCGAUUGGAUGGUCCGGUGAAGCCUCGGGAUUGUGGUUCUUGCCGCUUUAUUGUGGCGUGACCGCGAGAACUUGUCUAAACCUUAUCAUCUAGAGGAAGGUGAAGUCGUAACA